rnacentral:lncRNA from 1 species
UGCUUUGUUAAACAAGUGCUUGAAGGCAGUAUGCUUGGUAAAAGUCAUCGCCAUUCUCUAAUCUUGAGUACCCAGGGACACGAUACACUGCGGAAGGCUGCAGGGACCUCUGCCCAGGAAAGCCAGGAUCCAGUAUCUGCCGGAGGAGCCCCACCUUCUGCUACUAUUAUGUUCUUCAGAUGAGUAGAAGAGAGUGGGGAGGGAGAGAGCAGGAAGAAGAAAGGAAGAAUAAUGUCUUGAAAUUGAGCUCAGAUGGAAAAGAAUGGUGUUACUGAGACCCUUCAAGAUUCCCAGUGUAAUUCAAUAAAGAAAAGGCAACACAAAGGGGUUGUAUAGAAUUCGCCACAUUAUGGACCCAUGUCAUAGAGAGAAUCCACGGUGCAUUUGUUAGCUGCAUUUAAAUGACAACACUUUCAGAUCCAAGAUUUAUUUGGGAUAAAAAUUUACCUGGAUGCAAGGCUAUUCAGAAUGAAGAUUAAUGAUAUGGUUUGGCUGUGUCCCCACCCAAACUUCAUCUUGAAUUCCCACGUGUUGUGAGAGGGACCUGGUGGGAGAUAAUUGAACCAUGGGGGCAGGUCUUUCUCAUGCUGUUCUCAUGAGAGUGAAUAAGUCUCAUGAAACCUGAUGGUUUUAUAAGGGGGAAUUUCCCUGCACAAGCUCUCUCUCUGCCUUUUGCCAUCCAUGUAAGACGUGACUUGGUCCUCCUUGCCUUCUACCAUGAUUAUGAGGCCUCCCCAGCCACGUGGAACUGUGAGUCCAUUAAACCUCUUUCUUUUGUAAA